AUGGCUCUAAGAUUUGGUUUAUAUCUGGCACAAAAUGCAGGAUGCAACCGCCUGGUAAUUAACUCUGAUAAUUUGGAAGUCAUCGACACGAUGAAGAAUGGGGGACAAUUUGCGAAAACAGCGGCGGCAAUUUUCGAUGACUACUAUUUUUUGGUUUGUGACUUUCCCCUUAGUAGUUUUAAACACUGUAAUAGAGAAGCGAAUAGGGUUGCUCACGAAUUAGCUAGAUUAGCUAGAGUUUCCGCAAUGAAUGAGUAGUUUAAGGAGCCUAUGAACGAUAUUGUAUCUUUUCUUAUAGACGAUAUGACCGUUAUUUUCAAUUAA
rnacentral:rRNA from 1 species